rnacentral:hammerhead_ribozyme from 1 species
AGUUAGCUGACGAGUCCCAAAUAGGACGACAUGCGCAUCCUAGAU